rnacentral:antisense_RNA from 1 species
GGUCCCGCUGUUCCCGCGUCUGCCUCCCUACCAGACUGAGCUCCAAGCUGCCAGGGGCCUCGUCUCCAUCUGGGUCCCAGUUCCCACCAUAGAGCUGGGCACGGAGAACAGCUCAGGGAAGCUUCUUGGGAAAGGAAUUGUGGGAGUUCCCUCUGCCAGGGACCCACUGUGGUAAGAGCUUUAAGUCCCCCUUCCUCCCAGGUGAAUAUCCACUUCGAGGCCGGCUCAACCACCGUCUUCAGAGAACUCUCCCACACUGGCCACAGCCUAUCUGCCAGCAUCACCCAUUGGCUAGGUCUUUGCCCAUAAUGUGUCAAGGGCAAAACAGAGGGGUGGGUAUGUGCACGUGCAUCAGCCCAGGGGCCCGUACAUGGCUGGCGUCCAGUUGGGCCGGGGAGCAGGAAGACCCCUGGAGCACCGGAAGCAAGAACGAGGCAGGCAGGGGUGGCUAGCCGGGUUUGUGCUCGGACUGUAUUCACACAGAGACACGUGGCAGCUUACGUUGGACAAAAUGAGUAAUAAAAAUUGGCUUUAAAUAUGGAAA